rnacentral:rRNA from 1 species
GGGUUGUGAGGUUAAGCGACUAAGCGUACACGGUGGAUGCCCUGGCAGUCAGAGGCGAUGAAGGACGUGCUAAUCUGCGAUAAGCGUCGGUAAGGUGAUAUGAACCGUUAUAACCGGCGAUUUCCGAAUGGGGAAACCCAGUGUGUUUCGACACACUAUCAUUAACUGAAUCCAUAGGUUAAUGAGGCGAACCGGGGGAACUGAAACAUCUAAGUACCCCGAGGAAAAGAAAUCAACCGAGAUUCCCCCAGUAGCGGCGAGCGAACGGGGAGCAGCCCAGAGCCUGAAUCAGUGUGUGUGUUAGUGGAAGCGUCUGGAAAGGCGCGCGAUACAGGGUGACAGCCCCGUACACAAAAAUGCACAUAUUGUGAGCUCGAUGAGUAGGGCGGGACACGUGGUAUCCUGUCUGAAUAUGGGGGGACCAUCCUCCAAGGCUAAAUACUCCUGACUGACCGAUAGUGAACCAGUACCGUGAGGGAAAGGCGAAAAGAACCCCGGCGAGGGGAGUGAAAAAGAACCUGAAACCGUGUACGUACAAGCAGUGGGAGCACGCUUAGGCGUGUGACUGCGUACCUUUUGUAUAAUGGGUCAGCGACUUAUAUUCUGUAGCAAGGUUAACCGAAUAGGGGAGCCGAAGGGAAACCGAGUCUUAACUGGGCGUUAAGUUGCAGGGUAUAGACCCGAAACCCGGUGAUCUAGCCAUGGGCAGGUUGAAGGUUGGGUAACACUAACUGGAGGACCGAACCGACUAAUGUUGAAAAAUUAGCGGAUGACUUGUGGCUGGGGGUGAAAGGCCAAUCAAACCGGGAGAUAGCUGGUUCUCCCCGAAAGCUAUUUAGGUAGCGCCUCGUGAAUUCAUCUCCGGGGGUAGAGCACUGUUUCGGCAAGGGGGUCAUCCCGACUUACCAACCCGAUGCAAACUGCGAAUACCGGAGAAUGUUAUCACGGGAGACACACGGCGGGUGCUAACGUCCGUCGUGAAGAGGGAAACAACCCAGACCGCCAGCUAAGGUCCCAAAGUCAUGGUUAAGUGGGAAACGAUGUGGGAAGGCCCAGACAGCCAGGAUGUUGGCUUAGAAGCAGCCAUCAUUUAAAGAAAGCGUAAUAGCUCACUGGUCGAGUCGGCCUGCGCGGAAGAUGUAACGGGGCUAAACCAUGCACCGAAGCUGCGGCAGCGACACUGUGUGUUGUUGGGUAGGGGAGCGUUCUGUAAGCCUGUGAAGGUGUGCUGUGAGGCAUGCUGGAGGUAUCAGAAGUGCGAAUGCUGACAUAAGUAACGAUAAAGCGGGUGAAAAGCCCGCUCGCCGGAAGACCAAGGGUUCCUGUCCAACGUUAAUCGGGGCAGGGUGAGUCGACCCCUAAGGCGAGGCCGAAAGGCGUAGUCGAUGGGAAACAGGUUAAUAUUCCUGUACUUGGUGUUACUGCGAAGGGGGGACGGAGAAGGCUAUGUUGGCCGGGCGACGGUUGUCCCGGUUUAAGCGUGUAGGCUGGUUUUCCAGGCAAAUCCGGAAAAUCAAGGCUGAGGCGUGAUGACGAGGCACUACGGUGCUGAAGCAACAAAUGCCCUGCUUCCAGGAAAAGCCUCUAAGCAUCAGGUAACAUCAAAUCGUACCCCAAACCGACACAGGUGGUCAGGUAGAGAAUACCAAGGCGCUUGAGAGAACUCGGGUGAAGGAACUAGGCAAAAUGGUGCCGUAACUUCGGGAGAAGGCACGCUGAUAUGUAGGUGAAGCGACUUGCUCGUGGAGCUGAAAUCAGUCGAAGAUACCAGCUGGCUGCAACUGUUUAUUAAAAACACAGCACUGUGCAAACACGAAAGUGGACGUAUACGGUGUGACGCCUGCCCGGUGCCGGAAGGUUAAUUGAUGGGGUCAGCGCAAGCGAAGCUCUUGAUCGAAGCCCCGGUAAACGGCGGCCGUAACUAUAACGGUCCUAAGGUAGCGAAAUUCCUUGUCGGGUAAGUUCCGACCUGCACGAAUGGCGUAAUGAUGGCCAGGCUGUCUCCACCCGAGACUCAGUGAAAUUGAACUCGCUGUGAAGAUGCAGUGUACCCGCGGCAAGACGGAAAGACCCCGUGAACCUUUACUAUAGCUUGACACUGAACAUUGAGCCUUGAUGUGUAGGAUAGGUGGGAGGCUUAGAAGUGUGGACGCCAGUCUGCAUGGAGCCGACCUUGAAAUACCACCCUUUAAUGUUUGAUGUUCUAACGUUGACCCGUAAUCCGGGUUGCGGACAGUGUCUGGUGGGUAGUUUGACUGGGGCGGUCUCCUCCUAAAGAGUAACGGAGGAGCACGAAGGUUGGCUAAUCCUGGUCGGACAUCAGGAGGUUAGUGCAAUGGCAUAAGCCAGCUUGACUGCGAGCGUGACGGCGCGAGCAGGUGCGAAAGCAGGUCAUAGUGAUCCGGUGGUUCUGAAUGGAAGGGCCAUCGCUCAACGGAUAAAAGGUACUCCGGGGAUAACAGGCUGAUACCGCCCAAGAGUUCAUAUCGACGGCGGUGUUUGGCACCUCGAUGUCGGCUCAUCACAUCCUGGGGCUGAAGUAGGUCCCAAGGGUAUGGCUGUUCGCCAUUUAAAGUGGUACGCGAGCUGGGUUUAGAACGUCGUGAGACAGUUCGGUCCCUAUCUGCCGUGGGCGCUGGAGAACUGAGGGGGGCUGCUCCUAGUACGAGAGGACCGGAGUGGACGCAUCACUGGUGUUCGGGUUGUCAUGCCAAUGGCACUGCCCGGUAGCUAAAUGCGGAAGAGAUAAGUGCUGAAAGCAUCUAAGCACGAAACUUGCCCCGAGAUGAGUUCUCCCUGACCCUUUAAGGGUCCUGAAGGAACGUUGAAGACGACGACGUUGAUAGGCCGGGUGUGUAAGCGCAGCGAUGCGUUGAGCUAACCGGUACUAAUGAACCGUGAGGCUUAACCUUACAACGCCGAAG